ensembl:lncRNA
CCAGGUUUUUAUUUUGGUUAUAACUAAUUAAUACACAUUGGUGCACCUACCAGUUCUAACAGUAUUCAGUAUUUUAGAAACAGUUUGAGGUUUAGUUGAUACAUUCAAAUAACCUUUUGAAAAAUAAUACUAAUAAUACAUAUGGGACCAGCUUGUCUCACCUUGAGUAGAAGUCACUGAUUAUUAUUACAUACACAUUACUUACACAUAUUACACAAAUUGCAGUAUACAAAUCUUCUGCAUCAAACAGGACUAAAUUUGAUGUAGUUGUCUGUUUUUGUAUCUGCCUUCUGGCACGAAUAUUCUCAUGUUUAACAUAUAAGAGCAGGACCAGUAUGACUGACAUGCACCACAGUAAAGUGGAAAAUAAAUCAAGCAGUUGAGACACGCCUGUCAGAGCACUUCGAGCAUGUUGAAAUUACAGCUAUUCAAAAGCACAUGACAUGCACCGGGAAGGGAGGGCGAGUUAUGGAAAAGUUCCACUCGGAAGUCUAAUUCCAAAGGUUGCAUAAUGUGUUUAGACAGUGUUUAGCAAACAGGAGCUAUGCCAACCUCUACAUACAUUAUAAAUGAAUAACAAUGUAUGAGAAGGUCGUUAUUCAGUCAUUCAUAAUUUCUUCCAUUGAGUUUUGAUUUAAUUCUGCAAGAAAAAAACAUGUUAAAUUACAUAGACAAUAUAACAAACACAACAAAGAGCCUCAAAUCAAUCAAAAUAUUUCUUUACAUGAAGAUAUGUCAGCAUAAAAUACUUCUCUUCAUUCAUGUGACAAUAUGUUGUCACAUAUUUCAUCUGUUCAUAUUUCAUUCAAACAAGGUGUAGAAAAAAACUAAAACUUCAAACUCUUGGCCAAAUAAUACACUUUUGUGAAACAUAUGAUACAACAAGAUUGUAUCUUCUUCUUUUUCUCUAAACUGGGUUCACACUGACUGAAGUUCAAUGUAAUUUUUUUUUGAGGCCAUCAAUGGACAAUGAGGAGUACUGGAGUUAAAGGAGUUGAAUGAGAUGUUUCUGUCAUUUAAUCCACAAACUAUUAAAUACAUACAACAUGUGAUCCCACCGAAGAAAACGGAAAACUUUCACAUUGUCAGACUGUCAUGUGUUUUUUGUUAUAUUGGUAUGAAAAAAAAUUAUAAGGAAGAUUGAAAAUAGAAAAUAACUUGUAUAUGUUAUUUCACGACUGCGGGGAUAUGAAAGGGUCAUCUUAUCUUAUUAAAAUUUGUACCUGCACAAGAAAAUUUGCUUCACUACUUUCAAAUAAUUUCGCAUAAUUUCGAUCGACCGGUCAAUCUUCAUUCCUACCCUCACCUAUGGUCAUGAAGGAUGGGUCAUGACCGAAAAAACUAGGUCAAGGGUACAAGCGGCCAAAAUGGGUUUCCUCAGGAGAGUGGCUGGCGUCUCCCUUAGAGAUCGGGUGAGAAGCUCAGCCAUUCGUGAGGAGCUCGGAGUAGAGCCGCUGCUCCUUUGCGUCGAAAGGAGCCAGUUGAGGUGGUUUGGGCAUCUGGUGAGGAUGCCCCCUGGGCGCCUCCCUAGAGAGGUGUUCCACGCACGGCCAGCUGGGAAGACCCAGGACUAGGUGGAGAGAUUAUAUCUCUGCACUGGCCUCAGAGCUGGUAGAUGUGGCCCGAGAUAUAUAUAUAUAUAUAUAUAUAUAUAUAUAUAUAUAUGACCUUUAUAAUAUAUAUAUAUAUAUAUAUGUAUACAUAUGCCAUACGUCAAGCCCUGUAUAUAUAUACAGUAUACAGGGCUUGACAUCAACAUUUUUGCUCAACACCCACUGGCAUGGUGUUUUCCAAAGUUAGUAGCCACUCAGCAAUUUCAUUAGCCACAAUUUUUGUUGUUGGGAAUUGAGUUUAAUUUGAUAAAAGACAAAAAGAGUAGCUCAUUGCAUAUAACUAGAGCAGAGGUGUGAAGCUCCUGGACUUCCUGAACCCCAGCCCCAACCCCUUACCGCAACACUUUGUUGUCUGACACGGCCAACGAUAUCUCAUUGACCUUCAUUGACCUGGGACCUGUAAAAAUGACCUGUAAAAGUUGCUUCUCCCAACUAAAAAAGAGACCCACUUAAACUUUCACUCCUAUACGUCAUAAUAUCAGAACAAUACAUUAUUUUCUUGGCCGGAUCAUGAAACAGACGUUCUCUACUGUACCUCCACGACCUUUUCUUUUAUUUUGACUCCUCUUUACUUUCGCUUUCAGCACCACUCUUUUGUGUUUGCCCUCCGGGUUUUCCUACUACACUUGCUCUGUGCCACCACAUACUCGCCUUGCACUGAGCCGUCUGAGCCGUGUUUUGAGAAGACAACAGUAACGGACUGUCUCACCCAGCCGGGGGAAAUGGAGGAGGCAGGCAGGUCCGCAUGGACAUUAAAAUAAUGUUUAGUUUUUUUGUCAAAAUUGCUGUGAUGACAAAAGGUAAUAUUUCAUGAAUAAAUUGAUGAAUAUCGUCUGAUUUAAAUCAAACUAAAUUGUGUCUGAAAGAAAA